rnacentral:tRNA from 1 species
GCGCUGCUGGUCUAACGGGAUGACGCCCGCCUUGCAAGCGGGAAGUCGGGGUUCGACUCCCCGGUGGUGCG